CAAGAAUGUCACGCGACUCACCUAUCUGGCAUUCUCUGACUCAACACUUUAACAGAGUCGUUGCCCCUCGACUUUCUGGGCUUUGGUUUUUCAGACAAACCGAAUAAGAGAUGUGUUUGGACCGUUACACCCAGUGACGUGUGGACAGACAUUCACAGUUUGAUGGACAUCUGCUCAGACACAGUUAAAAGCAUAACCGCUGCUGGACAUCGUGCGGGAGCUCAGGGGGGGACCCCAUGAUCCCCCACACCUUCUCACUCACACCACAGCAUUCAUUCAUAUCGCAGAGAUCUGGCUGGAGUCGAACCAGCAACCUCUGAAACCGUGAGGCAGCGCUCUUACCUGUGAGCCACAGAUCUCUUGUCUGGACAUGUGAAGGAACUUAUAUUUCACUAUUCACCUGUAUGUGAGCUGGGAUUUUACAAUAAACCAGUUAAAGC